GUAGUUUGAUCAUGGCUCAGGAUGAACGCUGGCGGCGUGCCUAAUACAUGCAAGUAGAACGCUGAAGCUUGGUGCUUGCACCGAGCGGAUGAGUUGCGAACGGGUGAGUAACGCGUAGGUAACCUGCCUGGUAGCGGGGGAUAACUAUUGGAAACGAUAGCUAAUACCGCAUAACAGUAGAUAUUGCAUGAUAUCUGCUUGAAAGGUGCAAUUGCAUCACUACCAGAUGGACCUGCGUUGUAUUAGCUAGUUGGUGAGGUAGCGGCUCACCAAGGCGACGAUACAUAGCCGACCUGAGAGGGUGAUCGGCCACACUGGGACUGAGACACGGCCCAGACUCCUACGGGAGGCAGCAGUAGGGAAUCUUCGGCAAUGGGGGGAACCCUGACCGAGCAGCGCCGCGUGAGUGAAGAAGGUUUUCGGAUCGUAAAGCUCUGUUGUAAGAGAAGAACGAGUGUGAGAGUGGAAAGUUCACACUGUGACGGUAUCUU
rnacentral:rRNA from 1 species